rnacentral:rRNA from 1 species
UACAGAGGUCCCGAGCGUUGUUCGGAUUCACUGGGCGUAAAGGGUGCGUAGGUGGCCUGAAAAGUUUGAUGUGAAAGCUCAGGGCUUAACCCUGAAAUGGCAUUGAAUACUGUCGGGCUGGAGGUUUGGAGGGGGGACUGGAAUUCUUGGUGUAGCAGUGAAAUGCGUAGAUAUCAAGAGGAACACCAGUGGCGAAGGCGAGUGCCCUGGACAACACCUGACACUGAGGCACGAAAGCUAGGGGAGCAAACAGG